rnacentral:rRNA from 1 species
CGGCAGCCGGGCUUCGGCUUUGGUGGCGAGUGCGACGGGUAGUAAUACAUCGGAACGACCCAGAAGUGGGGAUACGUAGCGAAGUUCCGCUAAUACCGCAUACGUUCUACGGAAGAAGUGGGGGAUCGCAAGACCUCAUGCUUUUGGAGCGGCCGAUGUCUGAUUAGCUAGUUGGUGAGGUAAAGGCUCACCAAGGCGCCGAUCAGUAGCUGGUCUGAGAGGCGACCAACCACACUGAAACUGAGACCGGUCCAGACUCCUACGGGAGGCAGCAGUGGGGAAUUUUGGACAAUGGGCGCAAGCCUGAUCCAGCAAUGCCGCGUGAGUGAAGAAGGCCUUCGGGUUGUAAAGCUCUUUUGGCAGGGAAGAAACGGCGGGGCUAAUAUCCUUUGCUAAUGACGGU